rnacentral:lncRNA from 1 species
UCGAACAUCUGGACACUGGAAUCCACUCUUGGCUAAGUAAUGUUCCACGAGUUCAUCAGGAAUCUUUGGGGUGUAGUCCGUUAAGGAAGCAAGAAAAUCUGAAAGUGAGUUUUCAUCAUCAUGUCUAACUUCGUUUGAUUGCUGAUUGUGAUUCAUAUUCACUUUCCCUCUCUGUUAUUUUAUUGUAACUCGUAAGGAUGGGUUC